rnacentral:rRNA from 1 species
CUCAACUCUGUAACGGCAGUGGAAACUGGGUGGCUAGAGUACGGUAGGGGCAGAGGGAAUUCCCAGUGUAGCGGUGAAAUGCGUAGAUAUUGGGAAGAACACCAGUGGCGAAGGCGCUCUGCUGGGCCGUAACUGACACUCAUGGACGAAAGCUAGGGGAGCGAAAGGGAUUAGAUACCCCUGUAGUCCUAGCUGUAAACGAUGGACACUAGGCGUUGGCCGUAUCGACCCGGUCAGUGCCGUAGCUAACGCGUUAAGUGUCCCGCCUGGGGAGUACGCACGCAAGUGUGAAACUCAAAGGAAUUGACGGGGGCCCGCACAAGCGGUGGAGUAUGUGGUUUAAUUCGAUGCAACGCGAAGAACCUUACCAGGGCUUGACAUCCCGCGAACCUCUGUGAAAGCAGAGGGUGCCUUCGGGAACGCGGAGACAGGUGGUGCAUGGCUGUCGUCAGCUCGUGUCGUGAGAUGUUGGGUUAAGUCCCGCAACGAGCGCAACCCUCGUCUUUAGUUGCCAUCAUUCAGUUGGGCACUCUAGAGAGACUGCCGGUGACAAACCGGAGGAAGGUGGGGAUGACGUCAAGUCAUCAUGCCCCUUACGUUCUGGGCUACACACGUACUACAAUGCUUCGGACAAAGGGUUGCCAACUCGCGAGAGUGCGCUAAUCUCAUAAACCGAGGCUCAGUUCAGAUCGCAGGCUGCAACUCGCCUGCGUGAAGGAGGAAUC